rnacentral:rRNA from 1 species
AUUGAACGCUGGCGGCAUGCUUUACACAUGCAAGUCGAACGGUAACAGGGAGCUUGCUCUGCUGACGAGUGGCGAACGGGUGAGUAAUGCAUCGGAACGUACCGUGUAAUGGGGGGAUAACGUAGCGAAAGUUACGCUAAUACCGCAUACGCCCUGAGGGGGAAAUGGGGGACCGCAAGGCCUCACGUUAUACGAGCGGCCGAUGUCGGAUUAGCUAGUUGGUGGGGUAAAGGCCUACCAAGGCGACGAUCCGUAGCGGGUCUGAGAGGAUGAUCCGCCACACUGGGACUGAGACACGGCCCAGACUCCUACGGGAGGCAGCAGUGGGGAAUUUUGGACAAUGGGCGCAAGCCUGAUCCAGCCAUGCCGCGUGAGUGAAGAAGGCC